GCCUAAUACAUGCAAGUCGAACGGGAUUGAGAGCUUGCUUUCAUGAGAGUGGCGUACGGGUGCGUAACGCGUAUGCAACCUACCUUCAUCAGGGGGAUAGCCCGAAGAAAUUCGGAUUAACACCGCAUAAAAACACAGCUUGGCAUCAAGCAAUGUUCAAAUAUUUAUAGGAUGAAGAUGGGCAUGCGUGUCAUUAGCUAGUUGGUAAGGUAACGGCUUACCAAGGCUACGAUGACUAGGGGAUCUGAGAGGAUGACCCCCCACACUGGUACUGAGACACGGACCAGACUCCUACGGGAGGCAGCAGUAAGGAAUAUUGGUCAAUGGAGGCAACUCUGAACCAGCCAUGCCGCGUGCAGGAAGACUGCCUUAUGGGUUGUAAACUGCUUUUAUACGGGAAUAAACCUUAAUUCGUGAAUUAAGCUGAAUGUACCGUAAGAAUAAGAAUCGGCUAACUCCGUGCCAGCAGCCGCGGUAAUACGGAGGAUCCAAGCGUUAUCCGGAUUUAUUGGGUUUAAAGGGAGCGUAGGCGGCUUGUUAAGUCAGGGGUGAAAGACGGUGGCUCAACCAUCGCAGUGCCUUUGAUACUGACGAGCUUGAAUAUAGUUGAGGUAGGCGGAAUGUGACAAGUAGCGGUGAAAUGCAUAGAUAUGUCACAGAACACCGAUUGCGAAGGCAGCUUACUAAGCUAUUAUUGACGCUGAGGCUCGAAAGCGUGGGGAUCAAACAGGAUUAGAUACCCUGGUAGUCCACGCCCUAAACGAUGAUACUCGAUGUUGGCGAUAUACAGUCAGCGUCCAAGCGAAAGCGUUAAGUUAUCCACCUGGGGAGUACGCCCGCAAGGUGAAACUCAAA
rnacentral:rRNA from 1 species